AAUGAACGCUGGCGGCGUGCUUAACACAUGCAAGUCGAACGAGGCCAGGGGGGCAACUCCCUGAGUCGAGUGGCGGACGGGUGAGUAACACGUGGGUAACCUGCCCGGAAGUGGGGAAUACCUCGGGGAAACUCGAGCUAAUACCGCAUGACACCGUUGGGACGAGAGUCCCGAUGAUCAAAGCGGGGUCGCAAGAUCUCGCGCUACCGGAUGGGCCCGCGCCCGAUUAGCUAGUUGGUGGGGAACGGCUCACCAAGGCGACGAUCGGUAACCGGCCUGAGAGGGCGAUCGGUCACACCGGAACUGAGACACGGUCCGGACUCCUACGGGAGGCAGCAGUGGGGAAUCUUGCGCAAUGGGCGAAAGCCUGGCGCAGCAACGCCGCGUGGAGGAUGAAGGCCC
rnacentral:rRNA from 1 species